rnacentral:rRNA from 1 species
AGGGAAUUUGGCAUGGGCGGCAGCCUGAUCAGCCUGCCGCGUGUGUGAUGAAGGCCUUCGGGUUGUAAAGCUCUUUUUGCCGGGAAGAAAUCCCUUGUUUUCUUACGGGGUUGACCGUACCGUACCAAUAACAGAACGCCUCACCCCAUUCCAUCCCCCCCGCCACUAUAAUAGGGGG